AUUCUGUUACUCUUUCCUAUUCCUUAUUUUUUUUCACUGACAUGGACUUUAGAGAAGACUUUACCUUCCUGUCGGAACAGCGCCGGGAGUUCGCCACGGCGGAGGUCAUAGAAUCCGACCUGGAAUUUGCCUUUGACCUCCAAUUGCAGGAGGCUCUCGAGGCCUCCCUCGCUUUGAAUCCGUCUUCUUCCUCCGCUGUUAUCGAACAGCCUACUGUUGACGAGCUGAACGCGACCUCAGUGCAGAGUGAGGAGUUGGCGCGUGUGGAGUGCGAGAUGAAGGACAAGGAGCAGAGCGAGAGGGAAAUGCAGAAGAUGAGGGAGGAUCUCUGUCGAAGGAUCCACGACGAGAAGGUGGCGAGGGAUAUAUUGACGAUUUCUGAGGCGGAUUGGCAGCAGUGGGGCGAUAACUUUGAGAAGCCGUUCGGUGAGGGUUCAUCAUCUUCGGGUAGGACGGAGACGGAGGAAGGCUGGGUUAGGGUUUACUUGAAGGGUUUGGUGAGCGAGGAAAACGUGAGGGGGGAGAAGGUUGUGUUAUCUGGGAUAGGGUUUGCGAUUUGUGACCGUAGUGAUAAUUUGAUAUUUGAGGUUUCUAAGUCGGUGAUUGAGAAUGGCACUAGCAAGGUCGCUGUGGAGAUUAAGGCGUUGAUUGAAGCCUUCAAUAUGGUCCUUGCUUUGGAAUUAAAGCGCAUAGUUUACUAUACCGAUUAUUAUCCACUUCUCCAAUAUGUGAGAGGAAACUGGUCUGCAAAACAGCGGAAGAUUGCCAUGCUGGUUGAUCAAGUUCAUCUGCUUCAGAGGAAGUUUACAUACUGCGAUUCAAGGCUUUUGGCCAGAAAUGAUGUCAAGUUUGCAUUUAAGCUUGCGAGGGAUGCGAUUGUGUCUCAGUCUAUGAGACCCUCGGGACCUGGGAGUACAAGGAGUUUGAAUGAAAAUUGUGCUAUAUGUUUGGAGGAUACUGAUGUCAGUCAGAUUUUUUCAGUUGAUGGAUGUCAACACCGCUAUUGCUUUUCUUGCAUGAAACAACAUGUUGAGGUGAAGUUGCUUCAUGGAAUGGUGCCUAAGUGCCCUCAUGAGGGAUGUAAGUAUGAGCUUCUGGUUGACAGCUGCCAGAAGUUCUUGACUCAAAAGUUAACUGAUAUCAUGCGUCAACGCCAAGCGGAAGCUUCAAUUCCUGUUGCUGAAAAAGUUUACUGCCCUUAUCCAAGAUGCUCUGCAUUAAUGACAAAAACUGAGGUCUUUGAGUACUCGAAAAAUCUUAUUGGUGAAUCUGAACUGUCGGGACCCAAGAAAUGCUUAAAAUGUCAUGGCCUUUUCUGUUUUAACUGCAAGGUCCCUUGGCAUAGUGGUAUGACAUGUUUUAUGUACAAAACGUUGAAUCCCAACCCUCCUGCUGAAGAUUUGAAGCUAAAGUUUCUGGCAUCAAGGAGCCUAUGGCGGCAGUGCGUGAAGUGUAACCAUAUGAUUGAACUUGCCGAAGGUUGCUAUCACAUGACUUGCAGAUGUGGUUCCGAAUUUUGCUAUAACUGUGGUGCUGAGUGGAAGGACAAAAAAGCAACGUGUUCUUGCCCACUCUGGGCAGAAGACAAUAUUUGGAUGGAGGAGAGAGACUUGGACGAGACUGACGAUGAUGAUGACGUCUUUGGAGGAUGGCUUUGAUUAUUGUGAUGCUUGUUAAGCAGCUGGCCGAUUGAGCAGUGAAUCUUAGGUUCUGAGAUUUUUGGUGGUGAGCAAGAUCUUCUUUGAGAGUGUUUCUUUCUGUUACGAGAAGGAGAGGAGUGUACGUUGGAGCAGAGCUGGAAGUUGAAAAUCCUGCAGAGUAGAUUUAUGACCGAUCGGUCAUGUGUAUAGUCUUAGUUUUGGGUGAACCGUUCGGUCAUCUCUUUAAUUCUGUAUAUAACCGUUCGGUUACGUAUAUGGUUUUGCAGUAGUAUAGGAAGUGUUUGUAAAGUUUGAAUUUUAUGGUUAUUUUGUAAUAA